GCGCCCGUAGCUCAGUAGGAUAGAGCAACGGAUUUCUAAUCCGUCGGUCGGGGGUUCGAAUCCCUCCGGGCGUA
rnacentral:tRNA from 1 species